AUGAACGCUGGCGGCGUGCUUAACACCUGCAAGUCGAACGCUGAAGCCCAGCUUGCUGGGUGGAUUAGUGGCGAACGGGUGAGUAACACGUGAGUAACCUGCCCUUGACUCUGGGAUAAGCCUGGGAAACUGGGUCUAAUACUGGAUAUGACUUCUCAUCGCAUGGUGGGGGGUGGAAAGAUUUAUUGGUCUUGGAUGGACUCGCGGCCUAUCAGCUUGUUGGUGAGGUAAUGGCUCACCAAGGCGACGACGGGUAGCCGGCCUGAGAGGGUGACCGGCCACACUGGGACUGAGACACGGCCCAGACUCCUACGGGAGGCAGCAGUGGGGAAUAUUGCACAAUGGGCGCAAGCCUGAUGCAGCGACGCCGCGUGAGGGAUGACGGCCUUCGGGUUGUAAACCUCUUUCAGUAGGGAAGAAGCGAGAGUGACGGUACCUGCAGAAGAAGCGCCGGCUAACUACGUG
rnacentral:rRNA from 1 species